GCUUAACACAUGCAAGUCGAGGGGCAGCAUGGUCUUAGCUUGCUAAGGCCGAUGGCGACCGGCGCACGGGUGAGUAACACGUAUCCAACCUGCCGUCUACUCUUGGACAGCCUUCUGAAAGGAAGAUUAAUACAAGAUGGCAUCAUGAGUCCGCAUGUUCACAUGAUUAAAGGUAUUCCGGUAGACGAUGGGGAUGCGUUCCAUUAGAUAGUAGGCGGGGUAACGGCCCACCUAGUCUUCGAUGGAUAGGGGUUCUGAGAGGAAGGUCCCCCACAUUGGAACUGAGACACGGUCCAAACUCCUACGGGAGGCAGCAGUGAGGAAUAUUGGUCAAUGGGCGAGAGCCUGAACCAGCCAAGUAGCGUGAAGGAUGACUGCCCUAUGGGUUGUAAACUUCUUUUAUAAAGGAAUAAAGUCGGGUAUGGAUACCCGUUUGCAUGUACUUUAUGAAUAAGGAUCGGCUAACUCCGUGCCAGCAGCCGCGGUAAUACGGAGGAUCCGAGCGUUAUCCGGAUUUAUUGGGUUUAAAGGGAGCGUAGAUGGAUGUUUAAGUCAGUUGUGAAAGUUUGCGGCUCAACCGUAAAAUUGCAGUUGAUACUGGAUAUCUUGAGUGCAGUUGAGGCAGGCGGAAUUCGUGGUGUAGCGGUGAAAUGCUUAGAUAUCACGAAGAACUCCGAUUGCGAAGGCAGCCUGCUAAGCUGCAACUGACAUUGAGGCUCGAAAGUGUGGGUAUCAAACAGGAUUAGAUACCCUGGUAGUCCACACGGUAAACGAUGAAUACUCGCUGUUUGCGAUAUACUGCAAGCGGCCAAGCGAAAGCGUUAAGUAUUCCACCUGGGGAGUACGCCGGCAACGGUGAAACUCAAAGGAAUUGACGGGGGCCCGCACAAGCGGAGGAACAUGUGGUUUAAUUCGAUGAUACGCGAGGAACCUUACCCGGGCUUAAAUUGCAGAUGAAUUACGGUGAAAGCCGUAAGCCGCAAGGCAUCUGUGAAGGUGCUGCAUGGUUGUCGUCAGCUCGUGCCGUGAGGUGUCGGCUUAAGUGCCAUAACGAGCGCAACCCUUGUUGUCAGUUACUAACAGGUUCCGCUGAGGACUCUGACAAGACUGCCAUCGUAAGAUGUGAGGAAGGUGGGGAUGACGUCAAAUCAGCACGGCCCUUACGUCCGGGGCUACACACGUGUUACAAUGGGGGGUACAGAGGGCCGCUACCACGCGAGUGGAUGCCAAUCCCCAAAACCUCUCUCAGUUCGGACUGGAGUCUGCAACCCGACUCCACGAAGCUGGAUUCGCUAGUAAUCGCGCAUCAGCCACGGCGCGGUGAAUACGUUCCCGGGCCUUGUACACACCGCCCGUCAAGCCAUGGGAGCCGGGGGUACCUGAAGUGCGUAACCGCGAGGAGCGCCCUAGGGUAAAACUGGUGACUGGGGC
rnacentral:rRNA from 2 species